AAUAUUAGGCAAUUUAGCAAAAAAGAUAAAACUACGAACUCUGUUUACCAUUCUGUUAUCUAAAACUGAAAAAAUGAAUGAAUGAAGAAAACGAAUGAUUGAUCGACUUCAGCAACUACUUUGGGAGCUCUUCGAUACAUAUACGACAAGAGAUCACAAGUACGAAACUAGAGAGAGAUUCUUGCAGCCUCGGAGGAGGGAAUUCUUACCUUUUCGAUCAUAAACCGGAACUUAGAUUCGGAAUUUCCGCUGUGUAUUAACUGAAACCGAAACUAGGGUUUUCCUCGGGCGAACUCUACCUCGAGCGCCGCGGCAACUGGUAUUCUCGGUGAUUCGGUUUAGAUAAACAAAUAUCUAAUGGAGGGAAUUGCAGUAGUCGAAGCC